rnacentral:rRNA from 1 species
GAGUUUGAUCAUGGCUCAGAACGAACGCUGGCGGCAGGCUUAACACAUGCAAGUCGAGCGCCCCGCAAGGGGAGCGGCAGACGGGUGAGUAACGCGUGGGAAUCUACCCAUCCCUACGGAAUAGCUCCGGGAAACUGGAAUUAAUACCGUAUACGCCCUUAGGGGGAAAGAUUUAUCGGGGAUGGAUGAGCCCGCGUUGGAUUAGCUAGUUGGUGGGGUAAUGGCCUACCAAGGCGACGAUCCAUAGCUGGUCUGAGAGGAUGAUCAGCCACACUGGGACUGAGACACGGCCCAGACUCCUACGGGAGGCAGCAGUGGGGAAUAUUGGACAAUGGGCGCAAGCCUGAUCCAGCCAUGCCGCGUGAGUGAUGAAGGCCCUAGGGUUGUAAAGCUCUUUCAACGGUGAAGAUAAUGACGGUAGCCGUAGAAGAAGCCCCGGCUAACUUCGUGCCAGCAGCCGCGGUA